rnacentral:rRNA from 1 species
GACGAACGCUGGCGGCGUGCUUAACACAUGCAAGUCGAACGGUAAGGCCCUUCGGGGUACACGAGUGGCGAACGGGUGCGUAACACGUGGGUGAUCUGCCCUGCACUUCGGGAUAAGCCUGGGAAACUGGGUCUAAUACCGGAUAGGACCACUGCCUGCAUGGGUUGUGGUGGAAAGCUUUUGCGGUGUGGGAUGGGCCGGCGGGCUAUCAGCUUGUUGGUGGGGUGAUGGCCUACCAAGGCGACGACGGGUAGCCGGCCGGAGAGGGUGACCGGCCACACUGGGACGGAGAUACGGCCCAGACUCCUACGGGAGGCAGCAGUGGGGAAUAUUGCACAAUGGGGGCAAGCCUGAUGCAGCGACGCCGCGUGAGGGACGACGGCCUUCGGGUUGUAAACCUCUUGCAGCACCGACGAAGCGCAAGUGACGGUAGGUGCAGAAGAAGGACCGGCCAACUACGUGCCAGCCGCCGCCGUAA